rnacentral:rRNA from 1 species
ACGAACGCUGGCGGCAUGCCUAACACCUGCCAGUCGCACGAGACCUUCGGGUCUAGUGGCGCACGGGUGCGUAACGCGUGGGAAUCUGCCCUUGGGUUCGGAAUAACAGUUGGAAACGACUGCUAAUACCGGAUGAUGACGUAAGUCCAAAGAUUUAUCGCCCAAGGAUGAGCCCGCGUAGGAUUAGCUAGUUGGUGAGGUAAAGGCUCACCAAGGCGACGAUCCUUAGCUGGUCUGAGAGGAUGAUCAGCCACACUGGGACUGAGACACGGCCCAGACUCCUACGGGAGGAAGCAGUGGGGAAUAUUGGACAAUGGGCGAAAGCCUGAUCCAGCAAUGCCGCGUGAGUGAUGAAGGCCUUAGGGUUGUAAAGCUCUUUUACCCGGGAUGAUAAUGACAGUACCGGGAGAAUAAGCUCCGGCUAACUCCGUG